UUCCCGCUUCCCGCUUCCCUUCAGUCUUACAGCAGCGCUGGUGGCGCGUGCAUUGAGGCAAAUUGGCGCUGAAGAUCGCGUAAAGUGAUCGCUACAUUUAGCCGGUGGCUGAAUGAUGUGUGUGUCGAGCCGCGUUACCUGUGAGUAAUCAUACAACUUCUCGUCUGGUGUUUGUUCAAUCUAAUAGAGCUAGUGAGUCUUGGUGGGACAGGGGUGGCUAGCUGCAUUUAUUCAGGAGUGUGCUUCACAGCAUGCUCAGUGUGCCAACACAACAACUUCCUUAUGGUAGGGUUUGGAUGACUUCCCGAGUUGUAGCUGGCCUGCCUUGUCCCUGCCAAGCCUGGGCCUGGAGAAGUUCUUAGUUUUAAAAUAAUUACUGUGCUUCAUGUGAAAGCAAUUUUCUAUUUUCAUGUUAAGUUUUAAAUGAUGCUUACGUGUCAUAAUAAAAUACAAACUUCUAUACUUGUA